ensembl:piRNA 21ur-3980 ncRNA
UGUGAAUAUUUUUUUCACGAC